GACGAACGCUGGCGGCGUGCUUAACACAUGCAAGUCGAACGGAAAGGCCCUGCUUUUGUGGGGUGCUCGAGUGGCGAACGGGUGAGUAACACGUGAGUAACCUGCCCUUGACUUUGGGAUAACUUCAGGAAACUGGGGCUAAUACCGGAUAGGAGCUCCUGCUGCAUGGUGGGGGUUGGAAAGUUUCGGCGGUUGGGGAUGGACUCGCGGCUUAUCAGCUUGUUGGUGGGGUAGUGGCUUACCAAGGCUUUGACGGGUAGCCGGCCUGAGAGGGUGACCGGCCACAUUGGGACUGCGAUCCGCCCCAGACUCCUACGGGAGGCAGCAGUGGGGAAUAUUGCACAAUGGGCGGAAGCCUGAUGCAGCAACGCCGCGUGCGGGAUGACGGCCUUCGGGUUGUAAACCGCUUUCGCCUGUGACGAAGCGUGAGUGACGGUAAUGGGUAAAGAAGCACCGGCUAACUACGUG
rnacentral:rRNA from 1 species